GUGAGGAAUAUUGCGCAAUGGGCGAAAGCCUGACGCAGCGACGCCGCGUGGAGGAUGAAGGUCUUCGGAUUGUAAACUUCUGUUAAGUGGGAAGAAAGGGCUGCUUUUAAUAGAAGCAGUUAAUGACGGUACCAUUAAAGAAAGCACCGGCUAAACUCGUGCCAGCAGCCGCGGUAAUACGAGUGGUGCAAGCGUUAUUCGGAAUAAUUGGGCGUACAGGGUGUGUAGGCGGUAUGUUAAGUCUGUUGUUAAAGACUCCGGCCUAACCGGAGACAGGCAGCGGAAACUGGCGUACUAGAGGGUGGAAGAGAGAAGUGGAAUUCUCGGUGUAGCGGUAAAAUGCGUAGAUAUCGAGAGGAACACCGAUGGCGAAGGCAGCUUCUUGGUCCAUACCUGACGCUGAAACACGAAAGCGUGGGGAGCAAACAGGAUUAGAUACCCUGGUAGUCC
rnacentral:rRNA from 1 species